rnacentral:rRNA from 1 species
AAAGGCCCCUUCGGGGGUACUCGAGUGGCGAACGGGUGAGUAACACGUGGGCAAUCUGCCCUGCACUUCGGGAUAAGCCUGGGAAACUGGGUCUAAUACCGGAUAGGACCUUUAGGCGCAUGUCUUUAGGUGGAAAGCUUUUGCGGUGUGGGAUGGGCCCGCGGCCUAUCAGCUUGUUGGUGGGGUGAUGGCCUACCAAGGCGACGACGGGUAGCCGGCCUGAGAGGGUGUCCGGCCACACUGGGACUGAGAUACGGCCCAGACUCCUACGGGAGGCAGCAGUGGGGAAUAUUGCACAAUGGGCGCAAGCCUGAUGCAGCGACGCCGCGUGGGGGAUGACGGCCUUCGGGUUGUAAACCUCUUUCACCAUCGACGAAGGUCCGGGUUUUCUCGGAUUGACGGUAGGUGGAGAAGAAGCACCGGCCAACUACGUGCCAGCAGCCGCGGUAAUACGUAGGGUGCGAGCGUUGUCCGGAAUUACUGGGCGUAAAGAGCUCGUAGGUGGUUUGUCGCGUUGUUCGUGAAAUCUCACGGCUUAACUGUGAGCGUGCGGGCGAUACGGGCAGACUAGAGUACUGCAGGGGAGACUGGAAUUCCUGGUGUAGCGGUGGAAUGCGCAGAUAUCAGGAGGAACACCGGUGGCGAGGCGGGUCUCUGGGCAGUAACUGACGCUGAGGAGCGAAAGCGUGGGGAGCGAACAGGAUUAGAUACCCUGGUAGUCCACGCCGUAAACGGUGGGUACUAGGUGUGGGUUUCCUUCCUUGGGAUCCGUGCCGUAGCUGACGCAUUAAGUACCCCGCCUGGGGAGUACGGCCGCAAGGCUAAAACUCAAGGAUUGACGGGGGCCCGCACAAGCGCGGAGCAUGUGGAUUAAUUCGAUGCACGCGAGACCUUACUUGGGUUUGACAUGCACAGGACGCGUCUAGAGAUA